AUAAGUGUGUUUGAACAAUGAUAGUUGUUCACAUUAGGCAUUUGCGUAGGUACUGUGUGCAGUUGCAACCCCCACUCAUAUGUGUGAAUUGAAUCUACUUCCUUUUCUUCCUGUUCAAAUAUAGGGUAAAAAUAAUGUUUAAUUUUUUAUUCAACCCAACAGAUUUUUUUUGUUGGAAUCAAGUUCAAGACAUGUCUUUUGCUGAUUCUGCCAGUAGAGCUGCAAGAGUGGUGGACAUGCAACACAGGGAGGUGAAAGAAGGGAGGAUCAGGAAGGAUGGAGGGAGGUGACAAAGCUGGGAGAAAGGAGGGAGACACCAAGGAAGGUGGCAUGGGAAGAAAGUGAAGUUGUGGCCCAAGGCUAGAGUGUGAUCGUGUAAAAUUGUUACCUUUCCAUCAAUGCUCAGGUUCAUUGUCAUUUUUAAAGUCUGGCACUUGAAGAUCUACACAAUUGUUGUCGAGGAAGAUGAUAAACUCAAUGAGGAUGAUAAUUGGGGUUAUUGUGAAGCUCGAUGUUUGGUGGAGUACUCUCGCGGUAAAGAGGACAAGACAUGCAAACAUGAGUAACCGAUAGGUUUGUGUAAUCACUUCCAUUUUUUCUAGGAACAUUGAAUAUAAUUGAUUUUGUAAAGAAAGCGGUAGAGAAGACUGUACUUUUGGACCUUCAGGUGAAGCGGGAAUUAUAUCAUUGUGAU
rnacentral:lncRNA from 1 species